rnacentral:misc_RNA from 1 species
AACGCACAUUGCGCCCACUGGUAUUCCGGUGGGCAUGCCUGUUCGAGCGUCAUUAUCCUCCCUCAAACCUCGGGUUUGGUGUUGGACCCAAGUUGUGUGAACAACUGGUCUCAAAGACAAUGACGGCGUCCGUGGGACCCUCGAUGCAACGAGCUUUUUAACGAGCACGCGUCGAGUUUCAGGACCUUCCGGGCCGGUCUCCUUCUUUUAUUUACAAAGGUUGACCUCGGAUCAGGUAGGAAUACCCGCUGAACUUAA